rnacentral:rRNA from 1 species
AUUGAACGCUGGCGGCAGGCCUAACACAUGCAAGUCGAACGGUAACAGGAAGCAGCUUGCUGCUUUGCUGACGAGUGGCGGACGGGUGAGUAAUGUCUGGGAAACUGCCUGAUGGAGGGGGAUAACUACUGGAAACGGUAGCUAAUACCGCAUAACGUCGCAAGACCAAAGAGGGGGACCUUCGGGCCUCUUGCCAUCGGAUGUGCCCAGAUGGGAUUAGCUAGUAGGUGGGGUAACGGCUCACCUAGGCGACGAUCCCUAGCUGGUCUGAGAGGAUGACCGGCCACACGGGAAAUAGGAAAGGGUCCAAACCCCCAGGGGGGGGAGGGGGGGGGAAUUUUGCCAAAGGGGGGAAAGCCUGAUGCAGCCAGGCCGGGGGUAUGAAGAAGGCCUUGGGGUUGUAAAGUACUUUCGGGGGGGGGGAAGGGAGAAAAGUUAAUCCCUUUGCCCAUUGACGUUACCCGCAGAAGAAGCCCCGGCUAAACCCGU